rnacentral:rRNA from 1 species
UACGUAGGGGGCGAGCGUUGUCCGGAAUGACUGGGCGUAAAGGGAGUGUAGGCGGCUCUUUAAGUUAUAUGUGAAAUCCCGCGGCUUAACCGUGGAAGUGCAUAUAAAACUGGGGAGCUGGAGUGCAGGAGAGGUGAGUGGAAUUCCUAGUGUAGCGGUGGAAUGCGUAGAUAUUAGGAGGAACAUCAGUGGCGAAGGCGACUAUCUGGACAGCAACUGACACUGAGGCACGAAAGCGUGGGGAGCAAACAGG